AGCUUUUGCUCUGUUUCCUGGUCUCUGAAUGCGGUAGCUGUGUCCCCGGCCUGCAACGAGGGCAUAUCAUGUAACUCCUCCCGGCUUCAUUCCUAUGCAGGACAGGUAUUUUUCCCUCUCCACCCUGGUCUUCUCCUGUAACGUGUGGCCGCCUUUUCCAGCACGGCCUCCUGCCUUCCUGGUGCACUUUUUGGAGAACGUGGUGGAAUCAGAGGUUUCUGGCUGACUCGGUGGGUGCUUUGAACCAGGAAAGGACAAGAAAGAGGUGCCACCUCCUGAGUCCUGGUUCCUGCGGCUCCGUCGAAUCUGCAGUGAAGGCCUUUGGGAAGCGUGGGUUAUGUGGGUCCAGGGGUCCCAUCCUCCCGUGGAGGCCCUUGACCUGAGGAUCACUAACUCACACCCCACCGACUUCCGGCCCCCAACAAGGGCAGUGUUCCUCUUGCUCCAUUCUGCUCUGAAGUCCCCCAAACCGCUUCCUGGGGCUGCUUAGUGAAAUACAAGGCUCAUCUCUGAGGACCUCUACAGGGCUGGAUGGGAAGGACUGAUCCACAUUCCCACCAGGAAGUUUAGCAGAACCCCCGCGUGCCACCUGGACCCCUUGGAAGGACCUGGCUCAGGCUGGACCACCUCUUGAGAGGCAGGAGCUCUGGAUUUGAUCAAGAAUUCUUUGCUGAGCAUGGUGCCUCAUGCCUAUAAUCCCAACACUUUGGGAGGCCAGUGUGGGAGGAUCUCUUGAGCCCAGGAGUUCAAGACUAGCCUGGGCAACACAGAGAGACCCCAUCUCUAAAA
ensembl:lncRNA LINC00511 long intergenic non-protein coding RNA 511